GUGCCAGCAGCCGCGGUAAUACGUAGGUGGCAAGCGUUAUCCGGAAUUAUUGGGCGUAAAGCACGCGUAGGCGGUUUUUUAAGUCUGAUGUGAAAGCCCACGGCUCAACCGUGGAGGGUCAUUGGAAACUGGAAGACUUGAGUGCAGAAGAGGAAAGUGGAAUUCCAUGUGUAGCAGUGAAAUGCGCAGAGAUAUGGAGGAACACCAGUGGCGAAGGCGACUUUCUGGUCUGUAACUGACGCUGAUGUGCGAAAGCGUGGGGAUCAAACAGGAUUAG
rnacentral:rRNA from 1 species